GCGCAUGCUCAGUGAACGGAGAGCAAUGCAUCGCGGAGUCAGAGAAACGGCUCCGUAAUACCACCGUUAUAACAUGCAUACAUGUUAAUAUCAUGUUAAUAUGAAGCUGAUAUAACACUUCUGCACAGGUUCGAAGAUUCAAGCUCCUCUACAGAGACACAGCUGUGUUUAAAGGCUGUAACUGUAACUUACCAGCACUGGAGGUGGAAGGCUGCAGGGCAGUGGUCACAGCAGAGCAGGUCCCCACCCUCCCGGCAGCUAUCGCAGGUGUCGUGGUUGGUGGCCCUGCCACUCCUCCGGACGUCCCUCACCAACUUCCGACUCCUCUUCUCCACCUCCUCCGACUUGGGGGGCGCGAGCAGAGUUUGGAUUUGCUGCAAAGACAAGAAGAUUGGAUAUUUAAUAUGAGAAUAGGGCUGCGCUGAUUCAUAAAUAUCCAGCUCUGGUGGCUUUUUAAGCACUGCUGUAGAAGUGCAAGUACACGUGCUUUCUUUGCACUUCAUAACACUGAGUAUGACUGGAGAUGAAUCCUGCAUAUUAAUCUUGUGCAACUAAGAUUUAAGUCAUUAUGGAUGCAGCAGUUAUCAGCUGAGUGUUGGCAAUAAUUUAGCACUCACUGAUUGCAGCAACCUUGUUUUAGCAAACUCUAAAAGGCGUAUUAAACAUAUGCGAGUCAUA